rnacentral:sRNA from 12 species
GAGAUAAUUAUCUCGAAUAUGAUUCAUGAUGCUUUUGUUUGGACGCUGUUUGCAUGGUUUAUCAUUUGUUUAUUUGGGUAAAUUUCAUAGACAAAACUUUGUAACAAUUAAAAUAAACGAUAUUGGUUAUACAUGAAUCUUUGGAACUACAAGUGUAGU